rnacentral:rRNA from 1 species
UACGAGGGGUCCUAGCGUUGUUCGGAAUCAUUGGGCGUAAAGAGUAUGUAGGUGGCCUUGCAAGUCAGUUGUGAAAGCCCCGGGCUCAACCCGGGAAGUGCUUCUGAUACUGCUUUGGCUUAGUACUGGAGAGGAUAGUGGAAUUCCUGGUGUAGUGGUGAAAUACGUAGAUAUCAGGAGGAACAUCGGUGGCGAAAGGCGGCUAUCUGGCCAUGUACUGACAAUGAGAUACGAAAAGCUGGGGGAGCAAACAGG